rnacentral:rRNA from 1 species
CAGUCGCCGCGGGAAUACGAGGGGGGCAAGCGUUGUUCGGAAUUAUUGGGCGUAAAGGGUGCGUAGGCGGUCUGAUAAGUCUUAUGUGAAAUCUAUGGGCUCAACCCAUAGUCUGCAUAGGAAACUGUCAGGCUUGAGGAUGGGAGAGGUGAGUGGAAUUUCCGGUGUAGCGGUGAAAUGCGUAGAUAUUCGCAGGAACACCAGUGGCGAAGGCGACUUACUGGUCCGAUACUGACGCUGAGGUGCGAAAGCGUGGGGAGCAAACAGGAUUAGAGACCCCUGUAGUCCCUGUCUCUUAUAA